rnacentral:rRNA from 1 species
CACGUAGGGCGCAAGCGUUGUCCGGAAUUAUUGGGCGUAAAGAGCUCGUAGGCGGUUUGUCGCGUCUGCCGUGAAAGUCCGGGGCUCAACUCCGGAUCUGCGGUGGGUACGGGCAGACUAGAGUGAUGUAGGGGAGACUGGAAUUCCUGGUAUAGCGGUGAAAUGCGCAGAUAUCAGGAGGAACACCGAUGGCGAAGGCAGGUCUCUGGGCAUUAACUGACGCUGAGGAGCGAAAGCAUGGGAGCGAACAGG